rnacentral:rRNA from 1 species
AUACGGAGGGUGCAAGCGUUACUCGGAAUCACUGGGCGUAAAGCGCGCGCAGGCGGCUUGAUAAGUUGGAUGUGAAAGCCUACGGCUCAACCGUAGAACUGCAUCCAAAACUGUCAGGCUAGAGUGUGGGAGAGGAAGAUGGAAUUAGUUGUGUAGGGGUAAAAUCCGUAGAGAUAACUAGGAAUACCAAAAGCGAAGGCAAUCUUCUGGAACACUACUGACGCUGAGGCGCGAAGGCGUGGGGAGCAAACAGGAUUAGAUACCCCUGUAGUCC